GGAAGGAUCAUUANNNNGUGAGGGCCCUCUGGGUCCAACCUCCCACCCGUGUUUAUUUACCUUGUUGCUUCGGCGGGCCCGCCUUAACUGGCCGCCGGGGGGCUCACGCCCGGCCCGCGCCCGCCGAAGACACCUUCGAACUCUGUCUGAAGUUUGUCGUCUGAGUGAAAAUAUAAAUUAUUUAAAACUUUCAACAACGGAUCUCUUGGUUCCGGCAUCGAUGAAGAACGCAGCGAAAUGCGAUACGUAAUGUGAAUUGCAAAUUCAGUGAAUCAUCGAGUCUUUGAACGCACAUUGCGCCCCCUGGUAUUCCGGGGGGCAUGCCUGUCCGAGCGUCAUUGCUGCCCUCAAGCACGGCUUGUGUGUUGGGCCCCGUCCCCGAUUCCGCGGGGACGGGCCCGAAAGGCAGCGGCGGCACCGNNUCCGGUCCUCGAGCGUAUGGGGCUUUGUCACCCGCUCUGUAGGCCCGGCCGCGCCUGCCAUCAACCCAAAUUUUUAUCCAGGUUGACCUCGGAUCAGGUAGGGAUACCCGCUGAACUUAAGCAUAUCAAUAAGCGG
rnacentral:rRNA from 1 species